AUUCAAUGAUGAGAUUCCACUUCAUGGUCCGUGUUUCUGAGUAACUGAUUAUGUUGGAAGUUCUGAGACU